rnacentral:rRNA from 1 species
ACCUCAAAUCGGGUGAGACUACCCGCUGAACUUAAGCAU